rnacentral:ncRNA from 2 species
UACUUGGUUGAUCCUGCCAAGGAAGCACACUUAGGUCAUAGAUUAAGCCAUGCAAGUGUUAGUUCAGGUAACGAAACUGCGAAUAGCUCAUUAAUACGCUCAGAAUCUAUUUGGCGGCGACCAACAGGUCUUAAAUGGAUAGCAGCAGCAACUCUGGUGCUAAUACAUGCGAUUGUUUCUCCAGAUGUGAAUUAUGGAGGAAAAGUUGACCUCAUCAGAGGCACGCCAUUCGACUGAGUGACCUAUCAGCUUGUACUUAGGGUCUUUACCUAGGUAGGCUAUCACGGGUAACGGGCGGUUACCGUCGGACUGCCGGAGAAGGCGCCUGAGAGAUAGCGACUAUAUCCACGGGUAGCAGCAGGCGCGAAACUUUCCCACUCGAGACUUUCGGAGGAGGUAAUGACCAGUUCCAUUGGUGCCUUUUGGUACUGUGGAUAGGGGUACGGUUUUCCACCGUACCGAAACCUAGCAGAGGGCCAGUCUGGUGCCAGCAGCUGCGGUAAUUCCAGCUCUGCGAGUUUGCUCCCAUAUUGUUGCAGUUAAAACGCCCGUAGUCUGAAUUGGCCAGCAAUGGUCGUACGUAUUUUUACGUUCACUGUGAAACAAAUCAGGACGCUUAGAGUAUGGCCACAUGAAUGACUCAGCGCAGUAUGAAGUCUUUGUUUUCUUCCGAAAAACAAGCUCAAUGAGAGCCAUCGGGGGUAGAUCUAUCUCAUGACGAGUGGUGGAAUACUUUGA